rnacentral:misc_RNA from 1 species
GAUGAAGAACGUAGCGAAAUGCGAUACGUAAUGUGAAUUGCAGAAUUCAGUGAAUCAUCGAAUCUUUGAACGCAUAUUGCGCUCUCUGGUAUUCCGGAGAGCAUGCUUGUUUGAGUAUCAGUAAACACCUCAACUCCCUUUCUUCUUGAAAUGGAGCUGGACUUGAGUGAUCCCAACGCUUUACUCAUAAAGUGGCGGGUUACUUGAAAUGCAGGUGCAGCUGGACUUUUCUCUGAGCUAUAAGCAUAUCUAUUUAGUCUGCCUCAAAACAGAUUAUUACCUUUGCUGCAGCUAACAUAAAGGAGAUUAGUUCUUGUGCUGACUGAUGCAGGAUUCACAAAGACCGCUUCGGCUGUCUUUGUAAACUCGAUCUCAAAUCAAGUAAGACUACCCGCUGAACUUAAGCAUAUCAAUAAGCGGAGGA